CCUACGGGAGGCAGCAGUGAGGAAUAUUGGUCAAUGGAUGCGAGUCUGAACCAGCCCAGUAGCGUGAAGGAUGACUGCCCUAUGGGUUGUACACUUCUUUUAUACAGGAAUAAAACGAGGCACGUGUGCCUUUUUGCAUGUACUUUAUGAAUAAGGAUCGGCUAACGCCGUGCCAGCAGCCGCGGUAAUACGGAGGAUCCGAGCGUUAUCCGGAUUUAUUGGGUUUAAAGGGAGCGUAGAUGGGUUGUUAAGUUAGUUGUGAAAGUUUGAGGCUCAACCGAAAAAUUGCAAUUGAUACUGGCAGACUUGAGUACAGUUGAGGUAGGCGGAAUUCGUGGUGUAGCGGUGAAAUGCGUAGAUAUCACGAAGAACACCGAUUGCGAAGGCAGCUUACUAAACUGUGACUGACAUUGAUGCACGAAAGUGUGGGUAUCAAACAGGAUGAGAUACCCCUGUAGUG
rnacentral:rRNA from 1 species